rnacentral:rRNA from 1 species
UCGCCUACAUGAAGCUGGAGUUGCUAGUAAUCGCGAAUCAGCAUGUCGCGGUGAAUACGUUUCCCGGGGCCUUGUACACACCGCCCGUCACACCAUGAGAGUUGGCAAUACCCAACGUACGUGAUCUAACCCGCAAGGGAGGAAGCGUCCUAAGGUAGGGUCAGCGAUUGGGGUGAAGUCGUAACAAGGUACC